rnacentral:rRNA from 1 species
UGUGAGCUCGAUGAGUAGGGCGGGACACGUGGUAUCCUGUCUGAAUAUGGGGGGACCAUCCUCCAAGGCUAAAUACUCCUGACUGACCGAUAGUGAACCAGUACCGUGAGGGAAAGGCGAAAAGAACCCCGGCGAGGGGAGUGAAAAAGAACCUGAAACCGUGUACGUACAAGCAGUGGGAGCACGCUUAGGCGUGUGACUGCGUACCUUUUGUAUAAUGGGUCAGCGACUUAUAUUCUGUAGCAAGGUUAACCGAAUAGGGGAGCCGAAGGGAAACCGAGUCUUAACUGGGCGUUAAGUUGCAGGGUAUAGACCCGAAACCCGGUGAUCUAGCCAUGGGCAGGUUGAAGGUUGGGUAACACUAACUGGAGGACCGAACCGACUAAUGUUGAAAAAUUAGCGGAUGACUUGUGGCUGGGGGUGAAAGGCCAAUCAAACCGGGAGAUAGCUGGUUCUCCCCGAAAGCUAUUUAGGUAGCGCCUCGUGAAUUCAUCUCCGGGGGUAGAGCACUGUUUCGGCAAGGGGGUCAUCCCGACUUACCAACCCGAUGCAAACUGCGAAUACCGGAGAAUGUUAUCACGGGAGACACACGGCGGGUGCUAACGUCCGUCGUGAAGAGGGAAACAACCCAGACCGCCAGCUAAGGUCCCAAAGUCAUGGUUAAGUGGGAAACGAUGUGGGAAGGCCCAGACAGCCAGGAUGUUGGCUUAGAAGCAGCCAUCAUUUAAAGAAAGCGUAAUAGCUCACUGGUCGAGUCGGCCUGCGCGGAAGAUGUAACGGGGCUAAACCAUGCACCGAAGCUGCGGCAGCGACGCUUAUGCGUUGUUGGGUAGGGGAGCGUUCUGUAAGCCUGUGAAGGUGUGCUGUGAGGCAUGCUGGAGGUAUCAGAAGUGCGAAUGCUGACAUAAGUAACGAUAAAGCGGGUGAAAAGCCCGCUCGCCGGAAGACCAAGGGUUCCUGUCCAACGUUAAUCGGGGCAGGGUGAGUCGACCCCUAAGGCGAGGCCGAAAGGCGUAGUCGAUGGGAAACAGGUUAAUAUUCCUGUACUUGGUGUUACUGCGAAGGGGGGACGGAGAAGGCUAUGUUGGCCGGGCGACGGUUGUCCCGGUUUAAGCGUGUAGGCUGGUUUUCCAGGCAAAUCCGGAAAAUCAAGGCUGAGGCGUGAUGACGAGGCACUACGGUGCUGAAGCAACAAAUGCCCUGCUUCCAGGAAAAGCCUCUAAGCAUCAGGUAACAUCAAAUCGUACCCCAAACCGACACAGGUGGUCAGGUAGAGAAUACCAAGGCGCUUGAGAGAACUCGGGUGAAGGAACUAGGCAAAAUGGUGCCGUAACUUCGGGAGAAGGCACGCUGAUAUGUAGGUGAAGUCCCUCGCGGAUGGAGCUGAAAUCAGUCGAAGAUACCAGCUGGCUGCAACUGUUUAUUAAAAACACAGCACUGUGCAAACACGAAAGUGGACGUAUACGGUGUGACGCCUGCCCGGUGCCGGAAGGUUAAUUGAUGGGGUUAGCGCAAGCGAAGCUCUUGAUCGAAGCCCCGGUAAACGGCGGCCGUAACUAUAACGGUCCUAAGGUAGCGAAAUUCCUUGUCGGGUAAGUUCCGACCUGCACGAAUGGCGUAAUGAUGGCCAGGCUGUCUCCACCCGAGACUCAGUGAAAUUGAACUCGCUGUGAAGAUGCAGUGUACCCGCGGCAAGACGGAAAGACCCCGUGAACCUUUACUAUAGCUUGACACUGAACAUUGAGCCUUGAUGUGUAGGAUAGGUGGGAGGCUUUGAAGUGUGGACGCCAGUCUGCAUGGAGCCGACCUUGAAAUACCACCCUUUAAUGUUUGAUGUUCUAACGUUGACCCGUAAUCCGGGUUGCGGACAGUGUCUGGUGGGUAGUUUGACUGGGGCGGUCUCCUCCUAAAGAGUAACGGAGGAGCACGAAGGUUGGCUAAUCCUGGUCGGACAUCAGGAGGUUAGUGCAAUGGCAUAAGCCAGCUUGACUGCGAGCGUGACGGCGCGAGCAGGUGCGAAAGCAGGUCAUAGUGAUCCGGUGGUUCUGAAUGGAAGGGCCAUCGCUCAACGGAUAAAAGGUACUCCGGGGAUAACAGGCUGAUACCGCCCAAGAGUUCAUAUCGACGGCGGUGUUUGGCACCUCGAUGUCGGCUCAUCACAUCCUGGGGCUGAAGUAGGUCCCAAGGGUAUGGCUGUUCGCCAUUUAAAGUGGUACGCGAGCUGGGUUUAGAACGUCGUGAGACAGUUCGGUCCCUAUCUGCCGUGGGCGCUGGAGAACUGAGGGGGGCUGCUCCUAGUACGAGAGGACCGGAGUGGACGCAUCACUGGUGUUCGGGUUGUCAUGCCAAUGGCACUGCCCGGUAGCUAAAUGCGGAAGAGAUAAGUGCUGAAAGCAUCUAAGCACGAAACUUGCCCCGAGAUGAGUUCUCCCUGACUCCUUGA